UACGUAGGGUGCAAGCGUUAAUCGGAAUUACUGGGCGUAAAGCGUGCGCAGGCGGUGAUGUAAGACAGUUGUGAAAUCCCCGGGCUCAACCUGGGAACUGCAUCUGUGACUGCAUCGCUGGAGUACGGUAGAGGGGGAUGGAAUUCCGCGUGUAGCAGUGAAAUGCGUAGAUAUGCGGAGGAACACCGAUGGCGAAGGCAGCUUCCUGGUCUGCAACUGACGCUGUGGCGCGAAAGCUAGGGGAGCAAACGGG
rnacentral:rRNA from 1 species